rnacentral:rRNA from 1 species
GACGAACGCUGGCGGCGUGCUUAACACAUGCAAGUCGAACGGAGCGAAUGAAAGCUUGCUUUUAUAAGCUUAGUGGCAAACGGGUGAGUAACACGUAGGCAACCUGCCGACAGGAUGGGGACAACAUCCGAAAGGAAUGCUAAUACCGAAUGAAGUCAGAGAAGGGCAUCCUUUUCUGAUGAAAGAUGGCCUCUAUAUAUAAGCUAUCACCUGUCGAUGGGCCUGCGUCUGAUUAGCUGGUAGGUGAGGUAACGGCUCACCUAGGCGACGAUCAGUAGCCGGUCUGAGAGGAUGAACGGCCACAUUGGGACUGAGACACGGCCCAGACUCCUACGCUAGGCAGCAGUGGGGAAUCUUCCGCAAUGGGCGCAAGCCUGACGGAGCAACGCCGCGUGAGUGAAGAAGGUCUUCGGAUCGUAAAGCUCUGUUGAUGGGGACGAACGUGCCUAAUGCGAAUAGUAUUAGGUAAUG